rnacentral:rRNA from 1 species
UACGUAGGAUGCAAGCGUUGUCCGGAGUUCUGGGGUUUAAAGGGUGGGUGGGCGGCCUAUUAAGUUAGUGGUGAAAACGUUCGGCUUAACCGGAUACCCGCCAUUGAUACUGAUAGACUUGAGUGCGACAGAGGGUGUUGGAAUGUGUGGUGUAGCGGUGAAAUGCUUAGAUAUCACGCAGAACACCAAUUGCGAAGGCAGAUGCCUAUGUCGUAACUGACGCUGAGGCACGAAAGCGUGGGGAGCAAACAGG